CCUACGGGAGGCAGCAGUAGGGAAUCUUCCACAAUGGGCGAAAGCCUGAUGGAGCAACGCCGCGUGGGUGAAGAAGGUCUUCGGAUCGUAAAACUCUGUUGUUAGAGAAGAAAGUGCGGGAGAGUAACUGUUCACGUUUCGACGGUAUCUAACCAGAAAGCGACGGCUAACUACGUGCCAGCAGCCGCGGUAAUACGGAGGUGGCAAGCGUUAUCCGGAUUUAUUGGGCGUAAAGGGAACGCAGGCGGUCUUUUAAGUCUGAUGUGAAAGCCCUCGGCUUAACCGGGGUAGUGCAUUGGAAACUGGGAGACUUGAGUGCAGAAGAGGAGAGUGGAACUCAAGGUGUAGCGGUGAAAUGCGUAGAUAUAUGGAAGAACGCCAGUGGCGAAGGCGGCUCUCUGGGCUGUAACUGACGCUGAGGUUCGAAAGCGUGGGUAGCAAACAGGAUUAGAUACCCGGGUAGUC
rnacentral:rRNA from 1 species